CCAGCUCCAAUAGCGUAUAUUAAAGUUGUUGCGGUUAAAAAGCUCGUAGUUGGAUCUGUGUCCCGCACCGCCGGUUCACCGCCUGUCGGUGUUAAACUGGCGUGUAUGCGGGACGUCCUGUCGGUGGCGGUACGUGGCAUCGUCGACCGUAGGUCUGGCCCUGGUCCCCAGCGGCCUCUCCGAAGGUAGGCGUUCGCUUACGGCCGCCUAUUCAAUCCCGCCGCGGUGCUCUUCACCGAGUGUCGAGGCGGGCCGGCACGUUUACUUUGAACAAAUUAGAGUGCUUUAAGCAGGCUCAUUCCUGCCUGUAUACUGUGUGCAUGGAAUAAUGGAAUAGGACCUCGGUUCUAUUUUGUUGGUUUCCGGAAUCUGAGGUAAUGAUCAAUGGGGACAGGCGGGGGCAUUCGUAUUGCGACGUUAGAGGUGAAAUUCUUGGAUCGUCGCAAGACGGACCGAAGCGAAAGCAUUUGCCAAGUAUGUUCUCGUCGAUCAAGAACGAAAGUUAGAGGUUCGAAGGCGAUCAGAUACCGCCCUAGUUCUAACCAUAAACUAUGCCUGCCAGCGAUCCGCCGGCGUUCCUCCGAUGACCCGGCGGGCAGCUUCCGGGAAACCAAAGCUUUUGGGUUCCGGGGGAAGUAUGGUUGCAAAGCUGAAACUUAAAGGAAUUGACGGAAGGGCACCACCAGGAGUGGAGCCUGCGGCUUAAUUUGACUCAACACGGGAAAACUCACCAGGCCCGGACACCGGCAGGAUUGACAGAUUGAGAGCUCUUUCUUGAUUCGGUGGGUGGUGGUGCAUGGCCGUUCUUAGUUGGUGGAGCGAUUUGUCUGGUUAAUUCCGAUAACGAACGAGACUCUAGCCUACUAAAUAGACGCAUCGGUAUCCACAUCGUGCUACCGUCGCGCAAAUCUCUUCUUAGAGGGACAGGCGGCUUCUAGCCGCACGAGACNNNNGCAAUAACAGGUCUGUGAUGCCCUUAGAUGUCCUGGGCCGCACGCGCGCUACACUGAAGGAAUCAGCGUGUCUUCCCUGUCCGAAAGGACCGGGUAACCCGCUGAACCUCCUUCGUGCUAGGGAUUGGGGCUUGCAAUUGUUCCCCAUGAACGAGGAAUUCCCAGUAAGCGCGAGUCAUAAGCUCGCGUUGAUUACGUCCCUGCCCUUUGUACACACCGCCCGUCGCUACUACCGAUUGAAUGAUUUAGUGAGGUCUUCGGACUGGUGCGCGGAGGUGGCACCGCUGCUUCCGAUGUUGUCGGAAAGAUGACCAAACUUGAUCAUUUAGAGGAAGUAAAAGUCGUAACAAGGUUUCCGUA
rnacentral:rRNA from 1 species